AACGGCCGUACCAUGCUGAAUAUACCGGUUCUCGUUAGAUCACCGAAGUCAAGCAUCAUUGGGCGCGGUCAGUACUUGGGUGAGUGACCACCUGGGAACACUGCGUGCCGUU
rnacentral:rRNA from 1 species